rnacentral:rRNA from 1 species
CUAAUACAUGCAAGUCGAGCGGCAAGUCGAGGAGUAAUCUGAGACCUAGAGCGGCGUACGGGUGCGUAACGCGUAUGCAACCUACCUCAUACAGGGGGAUAGCCCGGAGAAAUCUGGAUUAAUACCCCAUGGUACAGCACAAGGGCAUCUGCGAGCUGUUAAAGAUUCAUCGGUAUGAGAUGGGCAUGCGUCUGAUUAGCUAGUUGGCGGUGUAACGGACCACCAAGGCGACGAUCAGUAGGGGUUCUGAGAGGAAGGUCCCCCACACUGGCACUGAGAUACGGGCCAGACUCCUACGGGAGGCAGCAGUAGGGAAUAUUGGGCAAUGGACGAGAGUCUGACCCAGCCAUGCCGCGUGCAGGAAGACGGCGUUCUGCGUUGUAAACUGCUUUUAUCUGGGAAGAAAAAGUCCAUGCGUGGAAAAUUGCCGGUACCAGAUGAAUAAGCACCGGCUAACUCCGUGCCAGCAGCCGCGGUAAUACGGAGGGUGCAAGCGUUGUCCGGAUUUAUUGGGUUUAAAGGGUGCGUAGGCGGCUAUUUAAGUCAGCGGUGAAAGACUCCGGCUCAACCGGAGCAGUGCCAUUGAUACUGGAUAGCUUGAGUGUUGGAGGGGUACAUGGAAUUGAU